AGCAGUGGCCACCUCAAUUGUUUUUUAGUUAGACGGCAUUACUAUUAUUUCUGCUGAAAUGUAGGUUUCAGAAUUACAAGUCAGGUUUGAUUAAACAUUUAAUUAGGUUGCUGAAAUAAAUCUCUUUACCUGUCGUGCUGUCUCGAAGGACCUCCUCAACGAGUUUCUAAUCGAUAUCCGACCUUACUUUUCCUUACCGUUAGCAAGUUAGCUAACGUGUCAAACGUACCCAGCAAACAGGCAUACUGCUCCCGUAAUCAAGUUUUCUGCUGGAGUGGGGCUGCUGAUUCUUGUCUACGUCUAGCCCAUGAUGACUGAUUGAAAGGACAUUACAAAAUAGGCUACGUCAAUUCACCACAAGUCAAAAUCAGAUCAACAGACAGGGACAUCAGCCUUCUCUUGGGAAUAUGCCAGAUAUGCCAUAACAAGAAAAAUGGUGUUUUGCCCCUGCGGUUGUGAAGAGGAUGCUGUGUAGAUGGCAGCAUGAACAUGUCACACAGACAUUGGCUAAACUGCUCGGCUUCUACACUUGCCCUCAGAGUUCACAUAAGGUGAAGUGCACAGGUGUCCAGUCAGGUUCAGACUGAUGCUGGUAACAAGAGGAAAACAUGCUGAUUGGUAAGUGAGAUCCCUGCUCAACAAAAAUCCACACAGCACAACAAGUUAGCCUAGUUUGUGGUAUCAAAUGUAAAAUGUAAGUUUCAUCAAAAAGUUGUAGAACACAUCUGAAUAAAUUGCAGGCCAUCAAAGUAGUGAAUGGGCAGGGAAAACACAACCAGUAGGCUUAUGAAUUACUUUGACUCAGCACAGCACAGCAGUAGAUGCGAUGCUA